GCGGUGAGUGCUGCUCUUUCCGGCCUCGGGCGGUGGGGGGCGGGUGGGGACGCGCGGGCCUGCGGGGGCCCACUUCCUGAUGUGGCGGCCGGGCGAGGAAGGACGGGGCCUGAGGCCCUUCGGCUAAGGGUCGAGGGUCGCUGGGGGCUCUCUGCUUUCUACUCUCGCCACGGUUUUAUUGGAUUAGGAAGCCCCAACUUCGAGACAUGCAGUCAAAGCGAUUUUAAAAAUGACUUGUUUUCAAGCCUCCUCUGGCCGCCGCCCACUCUUCUGGCCUUUGGACUUUGACCAAGAUGUUUUCUCGCAGUUUUUGCAACGUUUUAAACUUAGCCCUCGGCGUUCUUGUAAUGUAAUACAUUGAAACGAAGAUAUUUCGGUGGCGGCGAUAUUUCAUAUUUCAUAGUUGCCACUGCGCUCUGUCAUUCCAGUAGUCGUCUGUUGUGUAUAGUGAGAAACAACUCUGGGAAAUUAUUGGAUUUACAGUCCUGAAGAAUCUCCCUAUCCGUAUUUUGUCCCCCUGCAGUAAUAAAUCCCAUUAUGGAGAUCUCGAAACUUUAUAAAGGGAUAUAGUUUGAAUUCUAUGGAGUGUAAUUUUGUGUAUGAAUUAUAUUUUUAAAACAUUGAAGAGUUUGCAGAAAGAAGGCUAGUAGAGUUGAUUACUGAUACUUUAUGCUAAGCAGUACUUUUUUGGUAAUACAAUAUUUUGUUAGGCGUUUCUGAUAACACUAGAAAGGACAAGUUUUAUCUUGUGAUAAAUUGAUUAAUGGUUACAACAUGACUGAUAAUUAUAGCUGAAUAGUCCUUAAAUGAUGAACAGGUUAUUUAGUUUUUAAAUGCAGUGUAAAAAGUGUACUGUGGAAAUUUUAUGGCUAAGUUUAUGGAGAAAAUACCUUCAGUUGAUCAAGAAUAAUAGUGGUAUACAAAGUUAGGAAGAAAGUCAACAUGAUGCUGCAGGAAAUGGAAACAAAUACAAAUGAUAUUUAACAAAGAUAGAGUUUACAGUUUGUGAACUUUAAGCCAAACUCAUUUGACAUCAAGCACUGUAACAGGCACAGGUUCAACAAAGGUUGUGGGUAUUGACUUCCCCAAAAGUUGUCAGCUGAAGUAAUAUAGCCCACUUAAGUAAAUACUAUGAUGAUAAGCUGUGUGAACUUAGCCUUUAAAUAGUGUGACCAUAUGAAGAUUUUAAUUAUUUUUGUUUAUUGGAAUAAAAUGAGAUUUUUUGGGAUGUCAUGUUAAAGUGCUUAUGGGGAAAGAAGGCUGCAUGUAAUUUUUUACCUUGUGGCAUAAUCAGUAAUUGGUCUGUUAUUCAGGCUUCAUAGCUUGUAACCAAAUAUAAAUAAAAGGCAUAAUUUAGGUAUUCUGUAGUUGCUUAGAAUUUUGAUAAUAUAAAUCUCUGUGAAGAAUCAAGGAGUUUUAACAUUUUCAGAAGCGCAUCCACCUUUCAGGGCUUUAGGUUAGUAUUACUCAAGAUUAUGAACAAAUAGCACUUAGGUUACUUAAAAGAGUUACUACAACCCCAAAGAGUUGUGUUCUAAGUAGUAUUUUUGGUAAUUCAGAGAGAUACUCAUCCUACCUGAAUAGAAACUGAGAUAAAUCCAGUAAAGAAAGUGUAGUAAAUUCUACAUAAGAGUCUAUCAUUGAUUUCUUUUUGUGGUAAAAAUCUCUUUUUGUGGAAGAAAUUUCAUGUGAAUGUUUUAGCUAUCAAACAGUACUAUCACCUACUCAUGCACAAAACUGCCUCCCAAAGACUUUUCCCAGGUCCCUCGUAUCAAAACAUAAGAGUAUAAUGGAAGAUAGCACGAUCUUGUCAGAUUGGACAAACAGCAACAAACAAAAAAUGAAGUAUGACUUUUCCUGUGAACUCUACAGAAUGUCUACAUAUUCAACUUUCCCCGCCGGGGUUCCUGUCUCAGAAAGGAGUCUUGCUCGUGCUGGUUUUUAUUAUACUGGUGUGAAUGACAAGGUCAAAUGCUUCUGUUGUGGCCUGAUGCUGGAUAACUGGAAACUAGGAGACAGUCCUAUUCAAAAGCAUAAACAGCUAUAUCCUAGCUGUAGCUUUAUUCAGAAUCUGGUUUCAGCUAGUCUGGGAUCCACCUCUAAGAAUACAUCUCCAAUGAGAAACAGUUUUGCACAUUCGUUAUCUCCCACCUUGGAACAUAGUAGCUUGUUCAGUGGUUCUUACUCCAGCCUUUCUCCAAACCCUCUUAAUUCUAGAGCAGUUGAAGACUUCUCUUCAUCAAGGACUAACCCCUACAGUUAUGCAAUGAGUACUGAAGAAGCCAGAUUUCUUACGUACCAUAUGUGGCCAUUAACUUUUUUGUCACCAUCAGAAUUGGCAAGAGCUGGUUUUUAUUAUAUAGGACCUGGAGAUAGGGUAGCCUGCUUUGCCUGUGGUGGGAAGCUCAGUAACUGGGAACCAAAGGAUGAUGCUAUGUCAGAACACCGGAGGCAUUUUCCCAACUGUCCAUUUUUGGAAAAUUCUCUAGAAACUCUGAGGUUUAGCAUUUCAAAUCUGAGCAUGCAGACACAUGCAGCUCGAAUGAGAACAUUUAUGUACUGGCCAUCUAGUGUUCCAGUUCAGCCUGAGCAGCUUGCAAGUGCUGGUUUUUAUUAUGUGGGUCGCAAUGAUGAUGUCAAAUGCUUUUGUUGUGAUGGUGGCUUGAGGUGUUGGGAAUCUGGAGAUGAUCCAUGGGUAGAACAUGCCAAGUGGUUUCCAAGGUGUGAGUUCUUGAUACGAAUGAAAGGCCAAGAGUUUGUUGAUGAGAUUCAAGGUAGAUAUCCUCAUCUUCUUGAACAGCUGUUGUCAACUUCAGAUACCACUGGAGAAGAAAAUGCUGACCCACCAAUUAUUCAUUUUGGACCUGGAGAAAGUUCUUCAGAAGAUGCUGUCAUGAUGAAUACACCUGUGGUUAAAUCUGCCCUGGAAAUGGGCUUUAAUAGAGACCUGGUGAAACAAACAGUUCAAAGUAAAAUCCUGACAACUGGAGAGAACUACAAAACAGUUAAUGAUAUUGUAUCAGCACUUCUUAAUGCUGAAGAUGAAAAAAGAGAAGAGGAGAAGGAAAAACAAGCUGAAGAAAUGGCAUCAGAUGAUUUGUCAUUAAUUCGGAAGAAUAGAAUGGCUCUCUUUCAACAAUUGACGUGUGUGCUUCCUAUCCUGGAUAAUCUUUUAAAGGCCAAUGUAAUUAAUAAACAGGAACAUGAUAUUAUUAAACAAAAAACACAGAUACCUUUACAAGCGAGAGAACUGAUUGAUACCAUUUUGGUUAAAGGAAAUGCUGCGGCCAACAUCUUCAAAAACUGUCUAAAAGAAAUUGACUCUACACUGUAUAAGAACUUAUUUGUGGAUAAGAAUAUGAAGUAUAUUCCAACAGAAGAUGUUUCAGGUCUGUCACUGGAAGAACAAUUGAGGAGAUUGCAAGAAGAACGAACUUGUAAAGUGUGUAUGGACAAAGAAGUUUCUAUUGUAUUUAUUCCUUGUGGUCAUCUGGUAGUAUGCCAGGAAUGUGCCCCAUCUCUAAGAAAAUGCCCUAUUUGCAGGGGUAUAAUCAAGGGUACUGUUCGUACAUUUCUCUCUUAAAGAAAAAUAGUCUAUAUUUUAACCUGCAUAAAAAGGUCUUUAAAAUAUUGUUGAACACUUGAAGCCGUCUAAAGUAAAAAGGGAAUUAUGAGUUUUUCAAUUAGUAACAUUCAUGUUCUAGUCUGCUUUGGUACUAAUAAUCUUGUUUCUGAAAAGAUGGUAUCAUAUAUUUAAUCUUUAUCUGUUUAUUUACAAGGGAAGAUUUAUGUUUGGUGAACUAUAUUAGUAUGUAUGUGUGGACCUAAGGGAGUAGUAUCACUGCUUGUUAUGUAUCAUUUCAGGAGUUACUGGAUUUGGUGUUCUUUCAGAAAGCUUUGAAUACUAAAUUACAGUGUAGAAAAGAACUGGAAACCAGGAACUCUGGAGUUCAUCAGAGUUGUGGUGCCGAAUUGUCUUUGGUGCUUUUCACUUGUGUUUUAAAAUAAGGAUUUUUCUCUUAUUUCUCCCCCUAGUUUGUGAGAAACAUCUCAAUAAAGUGCUUUAAAAAGA
rnacentral:sRNA from 1 species